rnacentral:rRNA from 1 species
AUACGGAGGAUCCGAGCGUUAUCCGGAUUUAUUGGGUUUAAAGGGUGCGCAGGCGGGAGAUUAAGUCGGCGGUGAAAUUUUGCAGCUCAACUGUAAAAGUGCCUUCGAAACUGGUUUCCUUGAGUGUAGAUGAAGUAGGCGGAAUUCGGGGUGUAGCGGUAAAUGCAUAGAUAUCACGAGGAAAUCCGAUUGCGCAGGCAGCUUACUAAACUACUACUGACGCUCAGGCACGAAGGCGUGGGGAUCAAACAGGAUUAGAUACCCUGGUAGGCCACGCAGUAAACGAUGAUUACUAGCUGUUUGCGAUACAAUGUAAGCGGCUGAGCGAAAGCGUUAAGUAAUCCACCUGGGAAGUACGUUCGCAAGAAUGAAACUCAAAGGAAUUGACGGGG